CACAAAAAAUAUGCAGGCUGUACGCCGCUGUGCCCUCUCGGGGGCUAGUGGCAAGGGCUGAAAUAUUUUUCACCCAUGUCUUUUGCGCACUUGUUGUUUCCUGGGCGGGCUCGCCCGCCACCAGGACCACACCUUAAACCUUUUUUUAUGCAGUUGCAAUCAGCGUCAGUAUAACAAAUGUAAAAUCAUUUA
rnacentral:misc_RNA from 1 species